GAUGAACGCUGGCGGCGUGCCUAACACAUGCAAGUCGAGCGAUUCUCUUCGGAGAAGAGCGGCGGACGGGUGAGUAACGCGUGGGUAACCUGCCCUGUACACACGGAUACAUACCGAAAGGUAUGCUAAUACGAGAUAAUAUGCUUUUAUCGCAUGGUAGAAGUAUCAAAGCUCCGGCGGUACAGGAUGGACCCGCGUCUGAUUAGCUAGUUGGUAAGGUAACGGCUUACCAAGGCGACGAUCAGUAGCCGACCUGAGAGGGUGAUCGGCCACAUUGGAACUGAGACACGGGCCAAACUCCUACGGGAGGCAGCAGUGGGGAAUAUUGCACAAAGGGCGAAAGCCUGAUGCAGCAACGCCGCGUGAGUGAUGAAGGCCUUCGGGUCGUAAAGCUCUGUCCUCAAGGAAGAUAAUGACGGUACUUGAGGAGGAAGCCCCGGCUAACUACGUGCCAGCAGCCGCAGUAAAAC
rnacentral:rRNA from 1 species